rnacentral:rRNA from 1 species
CCUACGGGCGGCAGCAGUGAGGAAUAUUGGUCAAUGGGCGGGAGCCUGAACCAGCCAAGCCGCGUGAGGGAAGAAGGUACAGCGUAUCGUAAACCUCUUUUGUCAGGGAACAAAGGCGGGGACUAGUCCCCGGAUGAGGGUACCUGAAGAAAAAGCAUCGGCUAACUCCGUGCCAGCAGCCGCGGUAAUACGGAGGAUGCGAGCGUUAUCCGGUUUUAUUGGGUUUAAAGGGUGCGCAGGCGGCCUGUUAAGGCAGUGGGAAAAGCCCGGGGCUCAACCCCGGCGAGCAGUGGAAACUGGGGGGCUGGAGUGGGAGAGAGGUACGCGGAAUGCGCGGUGUAGCGGUGAAAUGCUUAGAUAUCGCGCAGAACCCCGAUUGCGAAGGCAGCGUACCGGCUCCACACUGACGCUGAGGCACGAAAGCGUGGGUAUCGAACAGGAUUAGAUACCCCAGUAGUC